rnacentral:rRNA from 1 species
UACGAAGGGAGCUAGCGUUGUUCGGAAUUACUGGGCGUAAAGCGCACGUAGGCGGGUCGUUAAGUCAGGGGUGAAAUCCCAGAGCUCAACUCUGGAACUGCCUUUGAUACUGGCGACCUAGAGUCCGGAAGAGGUUAGUGGAAUUCCCAGUGUAGAGGUGAAAUUCGUAGAUAUUGGGAAGAACACCAGUGGCGAAGGCGGCUAACUGGUCCGGUACUGACGCUGAGGUGCGAAAGCGUGGGGAGCAAACAGG